rnacentral:lncRNA from 1 species
UGAACGCCCCAGGGUCGGUGACACCUCCAUGGGCUGUCCAUUCCAGUGCCUGAUCACCCCUUCUGAAAAGUAAUACUUCCUAAUGUCCAGCUUGAAUCUCCCCUGCAGAACUGAAGUUUGAUUGGAAUAGAAUAGCACUGUUUUGUGGUCUUAAAUCUGACACGUGUUUUCUCCUUGGGCUUCAGGUACAGAUAUUGAUUAAUAAUGACUUUGGAGAAGGUUUCACUAUCCAGUCUCCUGAUCAGGAAGGAAGAACAAGAUUUUUGGAGGACUUAAUCAUGAAUGGAGCUGCUGCUGAACCUCCACUUCCAGGAAGCAGGCAGGUGAGGACGUUGUGCAUCUCAGCCUUUGCUCACUGCAAGGUACCAGCGACUCAGUCUGUGCUGUGCGGUGAUUUUCCACCAGCACUUCUGCUUGUGCCUGAGCACCAGGCAUCCGCUGACGUUGUCUGCUGGCUUUAGGCUGGGCAGACACGGGAAGCACUGCCUGCAGCAGCACUGGCUGAGCUCCGUGUGCCAGAGGAAGGAAAGCGGCGUCUGGAGGAGCAGGAGGAGGAGAGCCUGCGUGACUCUGCGUGUUCUGCAGGGCCGUUCCUCACAGACUGCCGCUGACAGACGUUUGGGGCACUGCAGAGCCUGUUGGUGCAGAGGAGCCUUCCUCCUCAGUUACUCGCAUCCUACAGCAGUGAAGGACUUCCCUUGCUCUGUAGGAAUGGUUCCUGUGCAACGGCAUGGUCGUCUGCCUGUAAUAGGUACUGAAGGUGAUGGUUUUGUGUCUGCAAUUAUGGAGUUGGCCUUGUAGUGGCAGUUGCACCCACUAACAUGCAGCUCUUUCUGACACAGGCAGCUGAAUGAGCAGUGGGACUGCAGCUUCUCUGGCAGUCUUGCAGCUACGUCAGGAAGUAGCAGAUGUGGAUUUGAAAGAAGAACUCAGUUCCUGGGACGUUCCCCUGUUCUUCCCCUAGCUGUCCCCUUGCCCCAGCUCAGAUACCCCUUGCAUUCCUGCAGGUGUCUCUUCCAUCCCCCUGACUGCCCCUUGCUUUCCCCAAGGCUGCCCUUUCCCAUGACACCCAUAAUUCCCUCAGAGUAGCAGUAGCGCCCUCAAUAUUUCCCAUCCAGGACCCCUUUAGCCACCCCACAGCCCCCCACAAAGCCCCAUAGCUGCUCCAGGGCCUAGUA